rnacentral:rRNA from 1 species
UACGGAAGGCAGCAGUGGGGAAUAUUGCACAAUGGGCGAAAGCCUGAUGCAGCUAUGCCGCGUGUAUGAAGAAGGCCUUAGGGUUGUAAAGUACUUUCAUCGGGGAGGAAAAAACAAAACUAAUAAUUUUAUUUCUUGACGUUACCCGAAAAAGAAGCACCGGCUAACUCCGUGCCAGCAGCCGCGGUAAUACGGAGGGUGCUAGCGUUAAUCGGAAUUACUGGGCGUAAAGAGCACGUAGGUGGUUUUUUUAAAGUCAGAUGUGAAAUCCCUGGGCUUAACCUAGGAACUGCAUUUUGAAACUGAAAUACUAGAGUAUCGUAGAGGGAGGUAGAAUUCUAGGUGUAGCGGUUGAAAUGCGUAGAUAUCUGGAGGAAUACCUGUGGCGAAAGCGGCCUCCUAAACGAAUACUGACACUGAGGGUGCGAAAGCGUGGGGAGCAAACAGGGAUUAGAUACC